rnacentral:rRNA from 1 species
UACGUAGGGUGCAAGCGUUGUCCGGAAUUAUUGGGCGUAAAGAGCUCGUAGGCGGUUCGUCACGUCGGCUGUGAAAUCCCGAGGCUCAACCUCGGGUCUGCAGUCGAUACGGGCGGACUGGAGUACUGCAGGGGAGACUGGAAUUCCUGGUGUAGCGGUGAAAUGCGCAGAUAUCAGGAGGAACACCGGUGGCGAAGGCGGGUCUCUGGGACCGUGACUGACUGACGUGAGGAGCGAAAGCGUGGGGAGCGAACAGG